rnacentral:rRNA from 1 species
CGUGUAGGCGACUCUUUAAGUUGAAUGUGAAAUCCCUCGGCUCAACUGAGAGCGGUCAUUCAAAACUGGAGGGAUUUGAGGACAGAAGAGGGAAGUGGAAUUCUCGGUGUAGCGGUAAAAUGCGUAGAUAUCGAGAAGAACACCGGUGGCGAAGGCGACUUCCUGGUCUGUUCCUGACGCUGAUGCGCGAAAGCUAGGGGAGCAAACG